CAGGCCUGGGACUGGGGGCUGUGUGAGAGGUUUGGGAAUAGGGCUGGGCUGUGGGUAGGGUGUCAGUGUUUCAGCAGAGCCAGAGCCAGGGAUCGAUCGAAUGCCUGCUGGACACGGUCAGGUCAUGGACACGUCAGGUCGUGCGUGUGACCUCUGCUUUCUCAGGGACCUCACCCCCAAACUGCCACUUCCGGUCUCAGAACCAAGCAGGCAGCACCUUACCUUCCAGGGGCCCCCAGCUGCUUCCUUCCUCCAGCUUGAGAGUGUCACCGUUCAAAGUCCCAACCAGUCCAGUCCUCCUUGGGAUUGGGACGCAGAUACAGCAGCCUUCAGCUCCUCUCCUCCCCCUCUCCCGUGGGGACCCAGAAGUCCAGGCCUCCGGUCCGUUCCAGAACACAUGCAGUUGUUUCCAGCUCUGAGGUCCAACCUCCCAGCUCUCGCCUCCUUGGGGCCCGAGAAUCCAGACCUGCAGAACCACCCUCCAUGGCCUGACUUCCUCCGAUCUUGGUGCUCAAGUGUUCCCGGCCCCCUCCUGCUCUCUCAGGACCCAGGAGUCCUGGCCCUAGCCCCUGCUCCCUCAAGACUCAGAAUUUCCAGCCAUGUCCUCCCUCAGCGCUCCCCCACACACCUCUUUUUUUGAAAUGGAAAUAACAUUUAUGUAACCUAAAAUUAACCAUUUUAGGAGUUCCCAAUGUGGCACAGUGGGUUAAGGAUCUGGUGAUGCUGCAGCAGCUCAGGUUCGGUUCUCAGCCCAGUGCUGUGGGUUAAGGAUCCAGCAAUGCUGCUGCUGUUCAUUGACUGCAGCGAUUAGGGCUCAGCUACUGCUCAGAUUCAAUCCCCGGCCCAGGAACUUCCGUAUGCCUUGGACACAGCCAAAAAAAAAAAAAAAAAGAUGUUGUAAUGAAGGCAGCCCAGAGCAUGGGUUUUCCCAGAAGAGAAAGUGGCUCACUAGCAGUGGUGACCAGUGUGGGUUUGGUUGUGGGGAAUGUUUAGGAGAAUCUCACAAGCUGCCCUUCGAGGAUGCAAGCACUGCGGGAAGCCUUUCUCAAUGGAGUCAAAGUGGUUCCUGAAACCUGGCCCUGGGGCAUCAAGCGCCUCUGUCAUGUCGACUAAAAUAAAAUUGCACAAUGCAAAAG
rnacentral:lncRNA from 9 species